rnacentral:rRNA from 1 species
GCGCGAAAACUUUACAGUGCUGGCAACAGCGAUAAGGGAACCUCGAGUGCCAGGUUACAAAUCUGGCUGUCGAGAUGCCUAAAAAGCAUUUCAUAGCAAGGGCCGGGCAAGACCGGUGCCAGCCGCCGCGGUAACACCGGCGGCUCGAGUGGUAACCGUUAUUAUUGGGUCUAAAGGGCCUGUAGCCGGCCGGAUAAGUCUCUUGAGAAAUCUGGCAGCUUAACUGUCAGGCUUUCAGGAGAUACUGUCUGGCUCGAGGCCGGGAGAGGUGAGAGGUACUUCAGGGGUAGGGGUGCAAUCUUGUAAUCCUUGAAGGACCACCAGUGGCGAAGGCGUCUCACCAGAACGGACCUGACGGCAAGGGACGAAAGCUAGGGGCACGAACCG